GGCAGGCUUAACACAUGCAAGUCGAGCGGGGGAAGGUAGCUUGCUACCGGACCUAGCGGCGGACGGGUGAGUAAUGCUUAGGAAUCUGCCUAUUAGUGGGGGACAACAUCUCGAAAGGGAUGCUAAUACCGCAUACGUCCUACGGGAGAAAGCAGGGGAUCUUCGGACCUUGCGCUAAUAGAUGAGCCUAAGUCGGAUUAGCUAGUUGGUGGGGUAAAGGCCUACCAAGGCGACGAUCUGUAGCGGGUCUGAGAGGAUGAUCCGCCACACUGGGACUGAGACACGGCCCAGACUCCUACGGGAGGCAGCAGUGGGGAAUAU
rnacentral:rRNA from 1 species